rnacentral:rRNA from 2 species
CAUCAUGAUUUACAUUUGAGUGAGUGGCGAACUGGUGAGUAACACGUGGGAAACCUGCCCAGAAGCGGGGGAUAACACCUGGAAACAGAUGCUAAUACCGCAUAACAACUUGGACCGCAUGGUCCGAGUUUGAAAGAUGGCUUCGGCUAUCACUUUUGGAUGGUCCCGCGGCGUAUUAGCUAGAUGGUGAGGUAACGGCUCACCAUGGCAAUGAUACGUAGCCGACCUGAGAGGGUAAUCGGCCACAUUGGGACUGAGACACGGCCCAAACUCCUACGGGAGGCAGCAGUAGGGAAUCUUCCACAAUGGACGAAAGUCUGAUGGAGCAACGCCGCGUGAGUGAAGAAGGGUUUCGGCUCGUAAAACUCUGUUGUUAAAGAAGAACAUAUCUGAGAGUAACUGUUCAGGUAUUGACGGUAUUUAACCAGAAAGCCACGGCUAACUACGUGCCAGCAGCCGCGGUAAUACGUAGGUGGCAAGCGUUGUCCGGAUUUAUUGGGCGUAAAGCGAGCGCAGGCGGUUUUUUAAGUCUGAUGUGAAAGCCUUCGGCUCAACCGAAGAAGUGCAUCGGAAACUGGGAAACUUGAGUGCAGAAGAGGACAGUGGAACUCCAUGUGUAGCGGUGAAAUGCGUAGAUAUAUGGAAGAACACCAGUGGCGAAGGCGGCUGUCUGGUCUGUAACUGACGCUGAGGCUCGAAAGUAUGGGUAGCAAACAGGAUUAGAUACCCUGGUAGUCCAUACCGUAAACGAUGAAUGCUAAGUGUUGGAGGGUUUCCGCUCUUCAGUGCUGCAGCUAACGCAUUAAGCAUUCCGCCUGGGGAGUACGGCCGCAAGGCUGAAACUCAAAGGAAUUGACGGGGGCCCGCACAAGCGGUGGAGCAUGUGGUUUAAUUCGAAGCUACGCGAAGAACCUUACCAGGUCUUGACAUACUAUGCAAAUCUAAGAGAUUAGACGUUCCCUUCGGGGACAUGGAUACAGGUGGUGCAUGGUUGUCGUCAGCUCGUGUCGUGAGAUGUUGGGUUAAGUCCCGCAACGAGCGCAACCCUUAUUAUCAGUUGCCAGCAUUAAGUUGGGCACUCUGGUGAGACUGCCGGUGACAAACCGGAGGAAGGUGGGGAUGACGUCAAAUCAUCAUGCCCCUUAUGACCUGGGCUACACACGUGCUACAAUGGAUGGUACAACGAGUUGCGAACUCGCGAGAGUAAGCUAAUCUCUUAAAGCCAUUCUCAGUUCGGAUUGUAGGCUGCAACUCGCCUACAUGAAGUCGGAAUCGCUAGUAAUCGCGGAUCAGCAUGCCGCGGUGAAUACGUUCCCGGGCCUUGUACACACCGCCCGUCACACCAUGAGAGUUU